GUAAUUUCUUUUUAUUUCUCUCCUCUUAAUCAAAAUUUAAUUUUCUCUUUAGGCCCAUAUGUGCUCGAAAUUCUGGACAUAUAGCUGAUUUGAUUGCUUACACCAAUAUUUAGAAUGCGCCGUAUGUAUAUAUGUUCUUUUGUGGUGGUUAACUUAGCUACUUACUGGAUAUCUUUUAAAAUUGUACAAUGCAUAUUUUCCUUUCAUAUUAAAGUGACAACACAACAAACUCUAAAUAAGAUAUUAUAUGA
rnacentral:misc_RNA from 1 species